rnacentral:piRNA from 1 species
UAAUGUGAUGGAAGAGCAGGACCUGCGGG